rnacentral:rRNA from 1 species
CUACGGGAGGCAGCAGUGGGGAAUAUUGCGCAAUGGGCGAAAGCCUGACGCAGCAACGCCGCGUGCGGGAUGAAGGCCUUCGGGUUGUAAACCGCUUUCAGCAGGGAAGAAGCGAAAGUGACGGUACCUGCAGAAGAAGCACCGGCUAACUACGUGCCAGCAGCCGCGGUAAUACGUAGGGUGCAAGCGUUGUCCGGAUUUAUUGGGCGUAAAGAGCUCGUAGGCGGUUAGUCACGUCGGAUGUGAAAACCCAGUGCUUAACACUGGGCCUGCAUUCGAUACGGGCUGACUAGAGUGUUGUAGGGGAGACUGGAACUCCUGGUGUAGCGGUGAAAUGCGCAGAUAUCAGGAAGAACACCGGUGGCGAAGGCGGGUCUCUGGGCAACUACUGACGCUGAGGAGCGAAAGCGUGGGGAGCAAACAGGAUUAGAUACCCUGGUAGUCCACGCCGUAAACGGUGGGCGCUAGGUGUGGGGAACAUUCCACGUUCUCCGUGCCGCAGCUAACGCAUUAAGCGCCCCGCCUGGGGAGUACGGCCGCAAGGCUAAAACUCAAAGGAAUUGACGGA